CCGUAUUAGCUAGUUGGUGGGGUAACGGCCUACCAAGGCGACGAUACGUAGCCGACCUGAGAGGGUGAUCGGCCACACUGGAACUGAGACACGGUCCAGACUCCUACGGGAGGCAGCAGUAGGGAAUCUUCCGCAAUGGGCGAAAGCCUGACGGAGCAACGCCGCGUGAGUGAUGAAGGUCUUCGGAUCGUAAAGCUCUGUUGUUAGGGAAGAACAAAUGUGUAAGUAACUGUGCACAUCUUGACGGUACCUAACCAGAAAGCCACGGCUAACUACGUGCCAGCAGCCGCGGUAAUACGUAGGUGGCAAGCGUUAUCCGGAAUUAU
rnacentral:rRNA from 1 species